UGGCGGAUGCCUAGGCUUUCAGAGGCGACGAAGGACGUGGUAAGCUGCGAAAAGCUGCGGGGAUUGGCACACACGAAUUGAUCCGCAGAUAUCCGAAUGGGGCAACCCAAUACAUUGAAGAUGUAUUACCUCGUAAGAGGAGCAAACCCGGAGAACUGAAACAUCUAAGUACCCGGAGGAAAAGAAAUCGAAGAGAUUCCGUAAGUAGUGGCGAGCGAAAGCGGAUUAGCCCAAAAGCUUUUAUAUGUUUAAUAGAAUGUUUUGGAAAGAACAGCCAUAGAGGGUGAUAGCCCCGUAAUCGAAAGGCAUACAUAGAUGAUAAAUGAGUAGGGCGGGACACGUGAAAUCCUGUCUGAAUAUGGGGGGACCAUCCUCCAAGGCUAAAUACUCCUGAAAGACCGAUAGUGAACAAGUACUGUGAAGGAAAGGUGAAAAGCACUUCGAAUAGAAGGGUGAAAUAGAACCUGAAACCGUACGCCUACAAGCGGUCGGAGCACCUAUAUGGUGUGACGGCGUGCCUUUUGCAUAAUGAGCCUACGAGUUAAUUUUACUAGCGAGGUUAAGGACUUCAGGUCCGGAGCCGGAGCGAAAGCGAGUCUGAAUAGGGCGCAUAGUUAGUAGGAUUAGACGCGAAACCUUGUGAUCUACCCAUGGGCAGGUUGAAGCUCUGGUAACACAGAGUGGAGGACCGAACCGGUUGACGUUGAAAAGUCUUCGGAUGACCUGUGGGUAGGGGUGAAAGGCCAAUCAAACUCCGUGAUAGCUGGUUCUCCCCGAAAUGCAUUUAGGUGCAGCGUUGCGUGGUU
rnacentral:rRNA from 1 species